rnacentral:tRNA from 1 species
CUCUGGGCCUAGAGUUAGAGCAUGGUGUUUGCAACGCCAGGGUUGUGGGUUCGAUUCCCACAGGG